rnacentral:rRNA from 1 species
UACGGGGGGGGCGAGCGUUGUUCGGAAUUACUGGGCGUAAAGUGUGCGCAGGCGGCCGAGCAAGUCGAGUGUGAAAGCCCCGAGCUUAACUUGGGAACUGCGCUCGAAACUACUUGGCUAGAGGGUGGCAGAGGGAGGUGGAAUUCCACGUGUAGCGGUGAAAUGCGUAGAGAUGUGGAGGAACACCGAUGGCGAAGGCGGCGUCCUGGGCCAACACUGACACUCAUGCGCGAAAGCGUGGGGAGCAAACAGG